AUGGCCUGGACUCCUCUGCUCCUCGCGCUCCUCUCUCACUGCACAGGGUCCCUCUCCCAGCCUGUGCUGACUCAGCCGCCCUCCCUCUCUGCAUCUCCGGGAGCCACAGCCAGACUCACCUGCACCCUGAGUGGUGCUUCCUAUCCUCUCAGUGCUUUCUGGAUAAACUGGUACCAGCAGAAUCCAGGGAGCCGUCCCCGGUACCUCCUGGGCUAUCAUUCAGACUCAAGUAAGAAACAGGGCUCCGGGGUCCCCAGCCGCUUCUCUGGAUCCAAAGACGCCUCGGCCAAUGCGGGGCUCCUGCUCAUCUCGGGGCUGCAGCCUGAGGACGAGGCUGACUAUUACUGUCAGGUUGGAGAAAAUACUGAUUCCCACAGUGACACACACAGAUGGGGAAGUGGGACAAAAACCUCGGCCUCCCCACGGGCCUCAUGA